GCAGUGGAAAAAAUCUCAAAUCUUCGACUUCUUCACCAUGAAAUCGACUCAGAACAUGAUUUCGUUAAACUUUAUAAGAAAUUAAGAUCGUACAAUCUGUCAUGAUUUCGAUUUCUAUAUCCGGAUUGUCAAAGGCGAUUAUUGCUUGUUGUUCGUCCUCAUUCACGAUCUGCAAGAAAGCGAGACGUUUCGAGUCUAAUCCCUUAUCCCUAAAGAUAGAGCUGUCACAGUAAUUAGGAUUUGGGUUAAACCAGAACUCCCGUAUGUUACAUAUUUAUAUAUAACUUGAUGUAAAAAUAUUAAAUUACGUUCGUCCAUCAAGGACAAGUCCAAAUACAUCUUAAUAGUUAAAUCUAUUAUAUUUUUAUAAAUCGCCUUAAAUAAAUGACGUGGGUCACAUGUAACAAAUUUUACAUAAUUCAAUAUGAGUCGACAUGGACCUCUCUAUCU
rnacentral:lncRNA from 1 species